UACGGAGGGGGCUAGCGUUGUUCGGAAUUACUGGGCGUAAAGCGCACGUAGGCGGCCAGUUGCGUCUGCUGUGAAAUCCCGGGGCUCAACCCCGGGCGUGCAGUGGAUACGGGCUGGCUAGAGGCAGGCAGGGGAGAACGGAAUUCCCGGUGUAGCGGUGAAAUGCGCAGAUAUCGGGAGGAACACCGGUGGCGAAGGCGGUUCUCUGGGCCUGUACUGACGCUGAGGAGCGAAAGCGUGGGGAGCGAACAGG
rnacentral:rRNA from 1 species